rnacentral:tRNA from 6 species
UCCUCUGUAGUUCAGUCGGUAGAACGGCGGACUGUUAAUCCGUAUGUCACUGGUUCGAGUCCAGUCAG